CUGCUCUGUGAUAAAACAGGAGUGGUAGGAUAAGUGAAACUGAGAAAAGGGCUCAGGUUGGAGGCUGACCUUCACCAGACAGAGCUCCCAGCAAACUGGGGCUCUGUGCCCAGCAAAGCCUUAGGCAUCAGCACAGAGCAUCAAUUCCCAAUGGGCUCUAUCUCCACCACUGGUAUGCUAUGUGGCUGCACUGGGAGAGGAGGCGCUAAGGUUGCAGCUAGGGGCAGUGGAUGUCUUUGCUGGGGAUCCUUGGUUUUUCAUCUUCCCACUUCCUAUGUCACUGGAGGGAGAUUUCCCUCCUUGCAGAUGCCCACUGGGACGUUCCUGCAAGAGCAGCCCCUGAGUGACACUGUUUGGAAUGCGAUCUACACAUACAAGCUCCAACUGCCAUGACCUGCAUUUUCCUGAUUCAUCUUUAAGUUUCACCUACUUGAAUGGGCUCCCACAUUUGUUCACUUCUAAAGCUUACUGAAGAAGUGGGAUUAGGAGACAAUACAUAAUCACAACUGGAUUAGAGAAAAAAAGUGAAAAUAUAUUUUAGUCUUGGAAUAUAAAUAGUGGCAGGGAAUCAAACAUUCUGAUCAAAGGGCAAAUCUUCAGUUCUGGAACACAUUUUGAGAGGGCAACAGUGAGCAUCUUCCUGCUUGUCUGCAAGAGAACUGUGACCAUGGGGACAUGGAAUCAGUGCGAGAAAAGCCCCAUGUGCUUGGUCUUGUGCUGCUGCUUGCCCAGGGGCUGUGUGGAUGUCAGGG
ensembl:lncRNA